rnacentral:rRNA from 1 species
UUAAGCGACUAAGCGUACACGGUGGAUGCCCUGGCAGUCAGAGGCGAUGAAGGACGUGCUAAUCUGCGAUAAGCGUCGGUAAGGUGAUAUGAACCGUUAUAACCGGCGAUUUCCGAAUGGGGAAACCCAGUGUGAUUCGUCACACUAUCAUUAACUGAAUCCAUAGGUUAAUGAGGCGAACCGGGGGAACUGAAACAUCUAAGUACCCCGAGGAAAAGAAAUCAACCGAGAUUCCCCCAGUAGCGGCGAGCGAACGGGGAGCAGCCCAGAGCCUGAAUCAGUGUGUGUGUUAGUGGAAGCGUCUGGAAAGGCGUGCGAUACAGGGUGACAGCCCCGUACACAAAAAUGCACAUAUUGUGAGCUCGAUGAGUAGGACGGGACACGUGGUAUCCUGUCUGAAUAUGGGGGGACCAUCCUCCAAGGCUAAAUACUCCUGACUGACCGAUAGUGAACCAGUACCGUGAGGGAAAGGCGAAAAGAACCCCGGCGAGGGGAGUGAAAAAGAACCUGAAACCGUGUACGUACAAGCAGUGGGAGCACGCUUAGGCGUGUGACUGCGUACCUUUUGUAUAAUGGGUCAGCGACUUAUAUUCUGUAGCAAGGUUAACCGAAUAGGGGAGCCGAAGGGAAACCGAGUCUUAACUGGGCGUUAAGUUGCAGGGUAUAGACCCGAAACCCGGUGAUCUAGCCAUGGGCAGGUUGAAGGUUGGGUAACACUAACUGGAGGACCGAACCGACUAAUGUUGAAAAAUUAGCGGAUGACUUGUGGCUGGGGGUGAAAGGCCAAUCAAACCGGGAGAUAGCUGGUUCUCCCCGAAAGCUAUUUAGGUAGCGCCUCGUGAAUUCAUCUCCGGGGGUAGAGCACUGUUUCGGCAAGGGGGUCAUCCCGACUUACCAACCCGAUGCAAACUGCGAAUACCGGAGAAUGUUAUCACGGGAGACACACGGCGGGUGCUAACGUCCGUCGUGAAGAGGGAAACAACCCAGACCGCCAGCUAAGGUCCCAAAGUCAUGGUUAAGUGGGAAACGAUGUGGGAAGGCCCAGACAGCCAGGAUGUUGGCUUAGAAGCAGCCAUCAUUUAAAGAAAGCGUAAUAGCUCACUGGUCGAGUCGGCCUGCGCGGAAGAUGUAACGGGGCUAAACCAUGCACCGAAGCUGCGGCAGCGACACUAUGUGUUGUUGGGUAGGGGAGCGUUCUGUAAGCCUGUGAAGGUGUACUGUGAGGUAUGCUGGAGGUAUCAGAAGUGCGAAUGCUGACAUAAGUAACGAUAAAGCGGGUGAAAAGCCCGCUCGCCGGAAGACCAAGGGUUCCUGUCCAACGUUAAUCGGGGCAGGGUGAGUCGACUCCUAAGGCGAGGCCGAAAGGCGUAGUCGAUGGGAAACAGGUUAAUAUUCCUGUACUUGGUGUUACUGCGAAGGGGGGACGGAGAAGGCUAUGUUGGCCGGGCGACGGUUGUCCCGGUUUAAGCGUGUAGGCUGGUUUUCCAGGCAAAUCCGGAAAACUAAGGCUGAGGCGUGAUGACGAGGCACUACGGUGCUGAAGCAACAAAUGCCCUGCUUCCAGGAAAAGCCUCUAAGCAUCAGGUAACAUCAAAUCGUACCCCAAACCGACACAGGUGGUCAGGUAGAGAAUACCAAGGCGCUUGAGAGAACUCGGGUGAAGGAACUAGGCAAAAUGGUGCCGUAACUUCGGGAGAAGGCACGCUGAUAUGUAGGUGAAGUCCCUCGCGGAUGGAGCUGAAAUCAGUCGAAGAUACCAGCUGGCUGCAACUGUUUAUUAAAAACACAGCACUGUGCAAACACGAAAGUGGACGUAUACGGUGUGACGCCUGCCCGGUGCCGGAAGGUUAAUUGAUGGGGUCAGCGCAAGCGAAGCUCUUGAUCGAAGCCCCGGUAAACGGCGGCCGUAACUAUAACGGUCCUAAGGUAGCGAAAUUCCUUGUCGGGUAAGUUCCGACCUGCACGAAUGGCGUAAUGAUGGCCAGGCUGUCUCCACCCGAGACUCAGUGAAAUUGAACUCGCUGUGAAGAUGCAGUGUACCCGCGGCAAGACGGAAAGACCCCGUGAACCUUUACUAUAGCUUGACACUGAACAUUGAGCCUUGAUGUGUAGGAUAGGUGGGAGGCUUUGAAGUGUGGACGCCAGUCUGCAUGGAGCCGACCUUGAAAUACCACCCUUUAAUGUUUGAUGUUCUAACGUUGACCCGUAAUCCGGGUUGCGGACAGUGUCUGGUGGGUAGUUUGACUGGGGCGGUCUCCUCCUAAAGAGUAACGGAGGAGCACGAAGGUUGGCUAAUCCUGGUCGGACAUCAGGAGGUUAGUGCAAUGGCAUAAGCCAGCUUGACUGCGAGCGUGACGGCGCGAGCAGGUGCGAAAGCAGGUCAUAGUGAUCCGGUGGUUCUGAAUGGAAGGGCCAUCGCUCAACGGAUAAAAGGUACUCCGGGGAUAACAGGCUGAUACCGCCCAAGAGUUCAUAUCGACGGCGGUGUUUGGCACCUCGAUGUCGGCUCAUCACAUCCUGGGGCUGAAGUAGGUCCCAAGGGUAUGGCUGUUCGCCAUUUAAAGUGGUACGCGAGCUGGGUUUAGAACGUCGUGAGACAGUUCGGUCCCUAUCUGCCGUGGGCGCUGGAGAACUGAGGGGGGCUGCUCCUAGUACGAGAGGACCGGAGUGGACGCAUCACUGGUGUUCGGGUUGUCAUGCCAAUGGCACUGCCCGGUAGCUAAAUGCGGAAGAGAUAAGUGCUGAAAGCAUCUAAGCACGAAACUUGCCCCGAGAUGAGUUCUCCCUGACUCCUUGAGAGUCCUGAAGGAACGUUGAAGACGACGACGUUGAUAGGUCGGGUGUGUAAGCGCAGCGAUGCGUUGAGCUAACCGGUACUAAUGAACCGUGAGGCUUAACCUU